AUACGUAGGGUGCAAGCGUUGUCCGGAUUUAUUGGGCGUAAAGAGCUCGUAGGCGGUUAGUCACGUCGGAUGUGAAAUCCCAGAGCUUAACUCUGGGCCUGCAUUCGAUACGGGCUGACUAGAGUGUUGUAGGGGAGACUGGAACUCCUGGUGUAGCGGUGAAAUGCGCAGAUAUCAGGAAGAACACCGGUGGCGAAGGCGGGUCUCUGGGCAACUACUGACGCUGAGGAGCGAAAGCGUGGGGAGC
rnacentral:rRNA from 1 species